CGCCCCCACCACGCCCCGCGUCCGCGCCUCCCCUGCCUCCUCAACUCCUCGUCAUCGUCGGUUCCCCUGUGUGCCUCCCUCGCCGCCGCCGCCGCCGGGGGCGGUUCCCUACUCUGCCUCCCCCACCACGCCUCCCACAUCGCGCCGCCCCCAUCGCCGCGCCCCCACAACGCCUCCACCGUCGGCACCCCCAUCGCGACACCCCUGAGCUCUGCAUCGCCGCCGACCGCCGCUCCUGCUCGCCCUCAUCUACGACGCCGCCGUCACUACCCUCUCUUCGCUGCGCUGCCCUCUCUUCGCUGCGCUGCCUCCCUCCCCGGCGUCCCCAUCCCCUCCUCGCCGCGCCACUUCCCCAUCUGCCGCCCCGCCUGCUUACCUCCCCGGCGUCCCCAUCCCUUCCUCGCCACGUCGCUUCCCCAUUCACCGCCCCCGCUGCACGCCUCACGCCGCAACCCCGCAGCGGAAUCCACCGGCGAGCUAACCGCCGUCCCGGCAGGUCGCCGUCAAUCGCCGUCGCCCCGCAGGUCGGCGUUGCACUGCAGAGGGAUUUCCCCGCCGAACGGUCGCCGCAGCAGGUCUACGCCACCUUCUUCCCACGCCGACUCCAUGUCUAAUCCCUACCUCACCACAGUUUCAACUUGUGGUUCCAGCUGAAGCAAUUGGAGAUUUAUUAAAUCUAAGGCUACAUGCUAGGCUGCUAUGAGAUGUAGAUCAAAUAGGCUAUCCUAUUAGAUGGUUAUUGAGCAAGCAUGUUUAUACCAAACAGUCAUUUUGUUUGUUGCUGGAACUAUCAGGUUGCCAUAUAGGCAUGCUAAAAAACCGUCAGGAAGUGUACAAGCUUACAAGCUGUAAAUAAACGGAAUGAAGAGCAAUAGAUCAUCUGUUAGGUUGCCUUCGGUUUUGAACAAGCGCUAUAAGGUGGUCGAAGAAAUUCUAUUAUUUUAUUUACCAUUGAUUGGCUAUCUGUUGAUGCUUUUAUUAUUCAACCAAACUGGUGGAGGAGCCAAGGUCACAAUAAUCUUAUUAAAGGUAGUACGUACUUAUAGAACCUCCAUUUUCAUCGGUACAUGUGAGAGUGAGCUUUAAUAAUGUAUUCCAUGAUGAAAUGUAUUCCAUAGCAUUAGGAUUGGAUGCUACAGGGAGACAAAUCUCGGCUGUGUCAUGUAUUCCAUGAUGCAAAGUUGAUGUUGGCUAUUGU
rnacentral:lncRNA from 1 species